CCGCCGGCCGCUCUCCCCCGUCCACGCGGACUCCCUGCGCCCAUCCCUCGUCGAAUCCGAGCACCUCCAGCGAGAUGCAUGGCUUCCCAUCGAGCUCGGACCGGCGCCGCCACCUCCUUUGCGCCUCCUGACAGGCGGCGACCGUCAGGGCUCGUGCCCGACCUCCACUCACGACGAGCUUCACCCGCGGCUGCGCCUUUCCCGACGAGCACCGCCACCACACCUCGCUGCCUCGGUCCGACGAGGAGCUUCCCCGACCAAUGCCUCCUUGCCCCGACGAGGAGUUUCCCUGAUCCGCCCCUCCCACCCCAAGCAACGCCCUGACCCGGCCCCGACCCGCGCCCUCCGCCGCCCAACAUGCCUUGCGCGUGACCUUUCUCCGAUGUGGAUCGGAUGCAGGAGGGAGAGAGAAGAAUUUGGGAGAGAGGGGAGCGUGGGGGAAGAAGAAGGUGGUGGCUCAAUGGCAGGUGGGACCGGUUAGAAUCAAUGGAUUUGGGUACUCAUUUUUAGUGGCAGAAUCGAGCGGGUCAAAUCCUACUGGUGGAGCAAUCAACGAGAUGGAGAUGGUGCUGUGACCUUUGACUGCUGCGACCCAGCUUUCACUGGCUGAUCUGACGGCAUACAUACGUGCAUGAUGGUGUCCCCAGAAGGCCACUAGUGUUUUCCGGCAUCGGGUGUGCCAAAGACAUCAGCGGAAUAUCCACAAGGAAGUUCUCAUUCCGAUUGAUAACUUCAGUCUUGCAGUCAAACCAGAAUUGCAUUGGGUCAGUCAGCGUAUCCCGUUCGAUUGCUUAAGGGCUUGCCUCCAGACUUGCAGAGUUUCUUUUGGAACAUACAGCUUACAAGUUACAAACUUACAACGAAGCAAAAUGGUACUCUCCGUUUCUAGAUAUAGAUGUACAGUGUACUCCACUAGAUUUGUCUUAAUUCACUAUCAACAUCUGCAACUCUAAAUUAGUUUUGUCAAAUCCGUCAUGUUAUAUA